UACAGAGGUCUCAAGCGUUGUUCGGAAUUACUGGGCGUAAAGGGCUCGUAGGCGGCCAACUAAGUCGGAUGUGAAAUCCCCAGGCUUAACCUGGGAACUGCAUCCGAUACUGGAUGGCUUGAAUCCGGGAGAGGGAUGCAGAAUUCCAGGUGUAGCGGUGAAAUGCGUAGAUAUCUGGAGGAAUACCGGUGGCGAAGGCGGCAUCCUGGACCGGCAUUGACGCUGAUGAGCGAAAGCUAGGGGAGCAAACGGGG
rnacentral:rRNA from 1 species